GAUGAACGCUGGCGGCGUGCCUAAUACAUGCAAGUCGAGCGAACAUACGAGGAGCUUGCUCCUCUGACGUUAGCGGCGGACGGGUGAGUAACACGUGGAUAACCUACCUAUAAGACUGGGAUAACUUCGGGAAACCGGAGCUAAUACCGGAUAAUAUAUUGAACCGCAUGGUUCAAUAGUGAAAGACGGUUUUGCUGUCACUUAUAGAUUGAUCCGCGCCGCAUUAGCUAGUUGGUAAGGUAACGGCUUACCAAGGCAACGAUGCGUAGCGGACCUGAGAGGGUGAUCGGCCCCCCCGGAACUGAGCCACGGUCCAGACUACUCCGGGAGGCAGCAGUAGGGAAUCUUACGCAAUGGGCGAAAGCCUGACGGAGCAACGCCGCGUGAGUGAUGAAGGUAUUCGGAUAGUAAAACUCUGUUAUUAGGGAAGAACAAAUGUGUAAGUAGCUAUGCACGUCUUGACGGUACCUAAUCAGAAAGCCACGGCUAACUACGUG
rnacentral:rRNA from 1 species